AGUUGCAAAAUGGCAGUUGUCUUGCUAGCUUGAAGUUCAUGUUCUUCUCUAGCCAAUAGAGAAGAGCAGGGGGCUGGUCCACUGUCCCUCAGACCUUGUGGGGGGCCGGACUAUAUUUGGGGGAGGGGAAUGAAUGAAUUCCUAUGCCUCACAAAUAACCCAGAGAUGCAUUUUAAAUAAAAGCAUGCAUUCUACUCGCUGAUUCCAGGACACGCUGAUUCCAGGACCGUCUGUGGGCCGGAUUUAGAAGGCGAUUGAGCUGGAUCCAGCCCUGGGCCUCAGUUUGCCUACCCAUGAUCUAAUGGGCGAAUCAACUAAUCCAGUGCCUCUUGAUUAAGUCAAGAAGUAUUUGGCACUGUUGCUCCUGAAGCACACAGACGUUUUCCUCCCCAGACAAGCUAAGAAAAUCCCAGAAAAAAGAAGUGCCGGACUCAUUCUCAAUUUUCCACUUCCGUAGGUUAAUGCACACAAUAAUGAGUAUGAUGACAGCAUGCUAGAUUACUUUUGAAGCAACUCUUUGAUGCCACUUUCUAGGGAAAUUAUGGGUUUCUAACCCAGAAGAUGCCUGCUGUAGUUUUCACAGGCGUUAUUAGAAGCAAACUAACAAGCGUGGUGCUGGAAUCUUUAUGCUUCCCGAAAGGCUUUGGAAAUCUCGCUGCUCUUGAUAAAGUGGAACAGUUGCAAAUUGGUCUGCAAGGGCCCCUGCCGUAUCCUGGUUGGUAAUAAAUGUGCCUUGUGACCAUAUGCAAUGCUUGAGCAAGUCUGACUGCGUGGGAUACUUGUACCCCGUACCAACAGCUAGAAUGACUUCUGUUGCACUGGGAUACCCUGGUCAUAUGCUAGAUGGUAAGAAAGAUUUCCACACACUGCAAUUUGUAUGUGUGGUAGCACCUGUGGGAGGGGGAUAUGGAUCUCCUAUUCUAGGAAUUAACACAUGAACGUGCUUCAUGAAUGUUUGAAUGUGUGUGCUGUGGGUGGAGGGCAGAGCAUAAAGCAGUGGUUCCCAAUUAAUGGUCUGUAGACCUCAGGUGCGUCCACAUAACACACCCAGGGGGGUCUGUGGCACCACUCACAUAACAAAAAGUUUCAUAGAGACAGCCAAAUUUUCAAAAGUAGAAAAACAGGGAGUCUGCAGUGCUUAGCUAAUGGGGAACCACUGGCAUAAAGGACUUAAAUGACUGGAACACAUCACUUGUUUUCAACGUACUUUUUUGUUAUUUUGUUCAUGUGAAUCCCUAGCCGGAAUUAAGAUUGCCGGAAGAAAUAUCAACAACCUCAGAUAUGCAGAUGACACAACCUUGAUGGCAGAAAGUGAGGAGGAAUUAAAGAACCUUUUAUUGAGGGUGAAAGAGGAAAGCACAAAAUAUGGUCUGAAGCUCAACAUCAAAAAAAGGAAGAUCAUGGCCACUGGUCCCAUCACCUCCUGGCAAAUAGAUGGGGAAGAAAUGGAGGCAGUGAGAGAUUUUACUUUCUUGGGCUCCAUGAUCACUGCAGAUGGUGACAGCAGCCACAAAAUUAAAAGACGCUUGCUUCUUGAGAGAAAAGCAAUGACAAACCUAGACAGCAUCUUAAAAAGCAGAGACAUCACCUUGCCAACAAAGGUCCGUAUAGUAAAAGCUAUGGUUUUCCCAGUAGUGAUGUAUGGAAGUGAGAGCUGGACCAUAAAGAAGGCUGAUUGCCGAAGAAUUGAUGCUUUUGAAUUAUGGUGCUGGAGGAGACUCUUGAGAGUCCCAUGGACUGCAAGAAGAUCAAACGUAUCCAUUCUUAAGGAAAUCAGCCCUGAGUGCUCACUGGAAGGACAGAUCCUGAAGCUGAGGCUCCAAUACUUUGGCCACCUCAUGAGAAGAGAAGACUCCCUGGAAAAGACCCUGAUGUUGGGAAAGAUGGAGGGCACAAGGAGAAGGGGACGACAGAGGAUGAGAUGGUUGGACAGUGUUCUCAAAGCUACCAGCAUGAGUUUGACCAAACUGCGGGAGGCAGUGGAAGACAGAAGUGCCUGGCAUGCUCUGGUCCAUGGGGUUACGAAGAUUCGGACAGGACUAAACAACUAAACAACAACAAAUGUUUAUUUGUAAACCACUUUUAAGACUAUUCCACAGUAAAACUUUGAAACUCAUUUAUUUCUAUGCAACGUCCAGACCAGGGAUUCCAUUCAACAACUCUAACACCUAUCACCAUCACCACUACCAGCAGCAACAGCCCCCCAAAAGCAGACACUAGGGAAACAGAAAUGAAAGCAGAAGGAAAUGGAAGCAUGAGUACACAGAAGAAUAUGUGAUUAUUUCAUUUACUGUAGUUGCACAUGCCCCAUCCCCCACAGCUGAGUGUGUGCUUAUAUGAAUCUCAGUGUUGACUGAGUGUGGCAGCUAUGUAUGAUUCAGCCUAAGACUUGUGCGACUCACCACACUUAAAUCAAGUGCCCUACCUUUACCAGACUUCCCAGAACAAUAUAAAGGUAGCUUGUCUUCCUAGAAAUACAGCUAUUGGAGAGACUAUAGCAAUGAAUGGCUUUAAGAGACAAUGUUCCAAGGACCUUGAUCCACUGGUAUUCUGAGCCAGUCCAUCCUUAAGUGCAUCAUUCAUUUACCUGCUGUUCUCUGUUCUCAUAAGACAUGAUACAUUGUGCAAGGCUAUAAGACAUUGCUACAGUAAUUUUGACAAAUAUUACUGAAAUAAAUUCUCCAGAAGAAAACCUCCAGUUUAGAGAAAUUAUCAUCUACUGUAUUGCUUUAUAAUUUUUUUAAACUACUAGGAUUGAAGUCCAUACUUAAAUAAGCCCUAAAUCUAUGGUGGGGGAGGGAGGACUGCUUCUUACUAGUUCUGGUCUGAUGAAAUUGAUUUUAAAAUGAUAAAAUAGCCACUUACAGAAUCCAUUGCUUAUGAAUGAAUUGCUUCACUCCUGUAUUGGGGAACUUUUUGAACAUUGAGACAAAGCUAAGGAGCUUGUUCUCCAGAGGGCAGAUUUCUAUGGGUCAGAAGGCAUAGUGAAGAGCCAGUACCUCUACCAUCACUAUUUCUGAUAGAAUUACACCAGCUGUGAAGCUUUAAACUACAAUAUUGUAAUAGCUGGAGCUUUUCGUUGGCCACUGUGAGAACAAGAUGGUGGAGCAGAUGGGCCUUGGGUCCGAUCCAGCAGGGAUUUUCUUACUUUCUUAUUCUGAGGCUGGGGCAAAGGCAGGAGGCAGAGCCUCUAUAUUUACAUUAAUGUACACUGAGAAGGUAUUUUGAAAAAGCUUCCCCUGCUCUUCCAUGCUAACAGGCGGGAUUAAAUAAAGCAGAAUGUGUAGAGAUAGAUGUCGAACCGAAAGUGUAGUUGUCUCAUGCACUCGUGUAUAAAUAAUUAGUUUAUAAAUGCACAACGGGAACAGCAAUAACCUGCUUGUAAAUAAAGAUGUCAUUGUUAGCUAAAGCAGGGGUCAGAAAACUUUUUCAGCAGGGGGCCAGUCCACUGUCCUUCAGACCUUGUGGGGGGCUGGACUAUAUUUUUUGGGGGGAAAUGAACGAAUUCCUAUGCCCCACAAAUAACCCAGAGAUGCAUUUUAAAUAAAAGGAAACAUUCUACUCAUGUAAAAACUCAUUGAUUCCCAGACUGUCCGCAGGCCAGAUUUAGAAGGCGAUUGGGCCAGAUCCAGCCCCCGGGCCUUAGUUUGCCUACCCAUGAGCUAGAGCAAUGCACUAUAUUCUAUGUAGAGUUUGUAAUGUGGAAGCAGAACUUCAUCAGCUCUUUCGAGUUGCAUUUUUCCUCUGAUACAUCCUUCCUCUGUUUUAGCAAUUUUGCCUCCAAAAAAACCUCAGUCUAUGGCUCCAUUGUCUGCAAAUGUCACCUAGUCAGACAUUAAAACUGCUUUAUUAGCUUGACUUUCAGAAAACAAAAAUGACACAUUCGGAAUUUCUUUUCCAUUAAAAAUAAACCACAAAUGUUUCUGCUCAGACCUAAGCCCCAAUAAGUUCUAUGGAACUUAUUCCCAGGUCAAUAUGUAAAAAGGAUUCCAGCCUUAGUGUAUUGAUUUUGAUGCUAAGAUUUUUACAGACAUAAAAUAACCACACCGUUAAGAAUUUUAAAAAUUGUCAUAACAAACACUUGUCCAAAGCAGAAUGCUGAGAUAUUGGAUUAAAGUCUUUUUCAUAAGGAUUCUUCUGCAUUGUGUUUCCAGCUGACAGCAAACCUGACCUACAAUGAUGUGUUGAUCUGGAAGCAUAACUGCAAACAGAUUCCCCAAGGAGACGAGGAGGCACUUUUGUUUGAUAGAGGAGAAAAAGCUCAAGCUGACAUUGUCGGCAUUUCACUUUGUUAUUUCAGAAUGCGAUAAGCUCAUUCAUGGAAGGAGACACAAAUCACUGGAACUUUUUCUUCUUCUUUUUACUUCUCAUAUUAGCUUUAACAAAGUUUGCCAGGGGAAAGAAAAAAGAAAUGUCAAAGGAGAGGAAAGACUUGUCAUGAUGCACAUACUGCAGCAGAAAAUAGUCCUGUGUCAAUGGUCCAUCGCUUGGGUCCUCUUUUUGCUCCAUUCACAGAAGGAGCUUCCAUUUACAGAAGAGACAUGGCUCUCAUGGAAGGAUGAGUGGAAACAUAAGGUCCAAGCCAACAUGUCUAGCACUUCCAG
rnacentral:lncRNA from 1 species